rnacentral:misc_RNA from 1 species
AAGUAACUCCCCUGCUCUUGAGCAGGGUGCUACUCAACCCGUGUAUACCUUACCUUUGUUGCUUUGGCAAGCCGCCUUCAGGCGUUGGCUCCGGCUAACAGUGCUUGCCAGAGGACCCAAACUCUUUUGUUUAGUGAUGUCCGAGUACUAUAUAAUAGUUA